rnacentral:rRNA from 1 species
GGCUUAUACAUGCAAGUCGAGCGGCCUCUUUCGGGAGGCAGCGGCGAACGGGUUAGUAACGCGUGGGAACGUGCCCUUUAGUACGGAAUAGCCAUUGGAAACGAUGAUUAAUACCGUAUACGCCCUUAGGGGGAAAGAUUUAUCGCUAAAGGAUCGGCCCGCGUUAGAUUAGGUUGUUGGUGGGGUAAUGGCCUACCAAGCCUACGAUCUAUAGCUGGUUUGAGAGGAUGAUCAGCAACACUGGGACUGAGACACGGCCCAGACUUCUACGGAAGGCAGCAGUAGGGAAUCUUGGACAAUGGGCGAAAGCCUGAUCCAGCCAUGCCGCGUGAGUGAUGAAGGCCCUAGGGUUGUAAAACUCUUUCGCCAGGGAAGAUAAUGACGGUACCUGGUAAAGAAACCCCGGCUAACUCCGUGCCAGCAGCCGCGGUAAUACGGAGGGGGUUAGCGUUGUUCGGAAUUACUGGGCGUAAAGCGCACGUAGGCGGAUUAGUCAGUCAGAGGUGAAAUCCCGAGGCUCAACCUCGGAACUGCCUUUGAUACUGCUAGUCUAGAGUUCGAGAGAGGUGAGUGGAAUUCCGAGUGUAGAGGUGAAAUUCGUAGAUAUUCGGAGGAACUCCAGUGGCGAAGGCGGCUCACUGGGUCGAUACUGACGCUGAAGUGCGAAAGCGUGGGGAGCAUACAGGAUU